rnacentral:rRNA from 1 species
GACGAACGCUGGCGGCGUGCCUAACACAUGCAAGUCGAGCGGAGGCGCCUGAAGAGCAAUCGGUGGGAGCCUGAGCGGCGGACGGGUGAGUAACGCGUGAGCAACCUGCCUUUCACAGGGGGAUAACGCCGCGAAUGCUGCACUAAUACCGCAUGAGACCACAGCGGCCGAGGCCGCGGGGGUCAAAGGCGAGAUCCGGUGAGAGAUGGGCUCGCGUCCGAUUAGGUAGUUGGUGAGGUAACGGCCCACCAAGCCAAUGAUCGGUAGCCGGCCUGAGAUGGUGAACGGCCACAUUGGAACUGAGAGACGGUCCAAACUCCUACGGGAGGCAGCAGUGGGGAAUAUUGGGCAAUGGGGGAAACCCUGACCCAGCAACGCCGCGUGAGGGAAGAAGGUUUUCGGAUUGUAAACCUCUGUUCUUGGAGAAGAGAAGAAGACGGUAUCCAAGGAGGAAGCCCCGGCUAACUACGUGCCAGCCGCCGCGGUAAUAC